GCCGGCGGCCAUAGAACGUUGAAAGCUUCGGUUCUCGUCCGAUCACCGCAGAUAAGCGACGUUGGGCCCAGUCAGUACUUGUAUGGGUGGCCGGCCGGGAAUACCGGGUGACACCGGCU
rfam:Schistosoma haematobium scaffold605_5, whole genome shotgun sequence.